rnacentral:tRNA from 1 species
GUCGGGAUAGCUCAGUUGGUAGAGCAGAGGACUGAAAAUCCUAGUGUCACCAGUUCAAAUCUGGUUUCUGACA